CUAGGUUCCAAACGAAGGGAAAGCAAAGUGGUUUUAAAUUACAGGUAGCUGCUGAAGAUUUGGUGGCAGCAGUGGGAUCCGAAGCAAACCUCCAUCAAAAUUCAGGGACAAUGAGAAACAGAAGCAUGGUGCUCUAUGAACCUUGUUGAAUUCACUGUCUUUCUCGCUGUUUCCAAAUGCCGUUGGUUCUUGUUGGUAUGGUUUGAACUAGGGUCCAUGAGUCAAUGGCCAAGAAAGAAUUCUUGAAACGUGCAAAAGGGUGUUUUUAUUGUAACACUGGGACAAGACCCCUGGGCAGAAAGAGCUGCACUGGACUUGUGAGAAAUGGCUGAUUUUAUACUUUGGAGUUGGGGGAAGUACAGACAAAGGAAGUUUCCAAAAGGAUUUUCAUUUGUUAAAGAAGACUUACAG